rnacentral:rRNA from 1 species
GACGAACGCUGGCGGCGGGCUCCCUUCAUGCAAGUCGAACGGAGAUUUUUAUUUCGGUAAAAAUCUUAGGGGCAAACGGGGGAGUAACGCGUAGGCAACCUGCCUUUCCGAGGGGGACAACAGUUCGAAAGGACUGCUAAUACCGAAUGAUGUAUAUCUUCCGCAUGGAGGACAUACCAAAGACGGCCCCUAUUUAUAAGCUGUCACGGAAAGAUGGGCCUGCGUCUGAUUAGCCAGUUGGCGGGGUAAUGGCCCACCAAAGCGACAAUCAGUAGCCGGUCUGAGAGGAUGAACGGCCACUUUGGGACUGAAACACGGCCCAAACUCCUACGGGAGGCAGCAGGGGGGAAUCUUCCGCAAGGGACAAAAGUCUGACGGAGCACCGCCGCGUGAGUGAAGAAGGUUUUCGGAUCGUAAAGCUCUGUUGUUGGUGAAGAAGGAUAGAGGCAGUAACUGGUCUUUAUUUGACGGUAAUCAACCAAAAAGUCACGGCUAACUACGUG